rnacentral:rRNA from 1 species
GUAAUCAUUGGUAAUAAAAGGUGAAAUUAAUUUGUUAUUUUAUAAUGUGUUUAAAUUAAAAUUGAAGCCAACAAAUUCUAGUUAUAAACUAGGAUUAGAUACCCUAUUAUUCUAGAUUCAAAGUGAGCAAAUUAAAUAUAUAAUAGAUAAUUUCUUUAAAAUUAAAAAAUUUGGCGGUUGUUUAGUCUUUUCAGAGGAAUUUGUUUUAUAAUCGAUAAACCACGUAAUAUCUUACGUAUUUUAGUAAACAGUUUGUAUACCGUCAUUAUCAGAUAAUUCUUAGAAGAAUAAUUAUUGUAAUUGAAAUAAUUAAAUAAAUUAGAUCAUGGUACAGCUUAUAAAUAAGUACAAUGAGUUACAAUAAAUUAUUUUAUAUGGAUUAAUAGUUGAAAAAAUUAUUAUAAAAGAGGAUUUGAUUGUAUUGUUUUUUUAAUAGGUAAAUAAUAUAUUAGCUCUAAAUUAUGUACAUAUCGCCCGUCGCUUUCACUUAUAAGUGAGAUAAG